UUGCACAAUGGAGGAAACUCUGAUGCAGCGACGCCGCGUGAUCGAAGAAGCCUUUCGGGGUGUAAAGCUCUUACGCCAGGGACGAUAAUGACGGUACCUGGAGAAGCAGCUGCGGCUAACUACGUGCCAGAAGCCGCGGUAAUACGUAGGCAGCAAGCGUUGAUCGGAAUUCAUGGGCGUAAAGGGUGCGUAGGCGGCGCUCUAAGUUUGGUGUGAAAUCUCCCGGCGUAACUGGGAGGGUGCACUGAAAACUGGAGCGCUCGAGUAUGGGAGAGGAAAGCGGAAUUCCUGGUGUAGCGGUGAAAUGCGUAGAUAUCAGGAGGAACACCGGCGGUGUAGACGGCUUGCUAGACCAUAACUGACGCUGAGGCACGAAAGCGUGGGUAGCAAACA
rnacentral:rRNA from 1 species